rnacentral:rRNA from 1 species
UACGAAGGGGGCGAGCGUUGUUCGGAAUCACUGGGCGUAAAGGGCGCGUAGGCGGCCCUCUUAGUCGCGUGUGAAAGCCCCGGGCUCAACCUGGGAACGGCGCGCGAAACGGGAGGGCUAGAGUACGGAAGAGGCGAGUGGAAUUCCUGGUGUAGCGGUGAAAUGCGCAGAUAUCAGGAGGAACACCUAUUGCGAAGGCAGCUCGCUGGGACGUAACUGACGCUGAGACGCGAAAGUGUGGGGAGCAAACAGG